ACUCACAAGAAAGAGAAGGAAAAGAUUUUGGGUCCCAGGCCCUGUCACUAAAACCUUCCCAACGAGGAGAACAGGCUUAGUUGCCCAGAGCACCUUCGGUCUCUCAGCUGAGCAACCAGGGCCUUCAACAUUGGAGGAAUUCCCAUGAUGGCCAGCAGAGAGAGCUCAAGAACCACAGACCCCCGAGGGGCGGGUUCCUCUGCUGGGCAGUGAUAGCCAGCAGAGGGCGCACCAUCUGCUUUUCUGACCCAGGGCACCUCAGAGCAGGAAGGGCUUUGCUUGCUCUCAGAGGACUCAGGCCUCUGCUGGUGCCUGAGUACAGAGACGAGAGCUGCAUUUCCAGCAGGUUCUGCCACCCGCCCCAGGGGAGACCUUGGGAGCUUAGCAGCAACUUGGCAUCUCCUGAGUCGCCAGAGAGAAGCUGCCUUGUUGUACUGAGUGCUGAGGAGGGGGCGCCGGGUGGCUUCCCUGGUCAAGCUGGUCGCUGAGUUACACAGGCCUUUGCAUUUUCUGGGCUGUUCCCGUGUUUCAUUCCACCCCUUCCCGGACACUGUUUGAACAAGACGUAUUUUACUAAAGGACUUGUGGAUUGCGGGGUCCCACGACAUCACCUCAUAGAUGCAAUCGAUGAUUUGUUCCAGAUCCAGGCUUGUUUCCGGGAAGAAACCCUAACAGAAAUUCAGAAGCACGGGAGCUGCAUUCAAGUAGGACGUGGAUCCAUGAAAUGCUCGUCUCACGACCUUCUAGAAGAAGGAGCUGGGACCCAUGUUCCGAGUCCUGCUGGACCCAGAGGCCAAGAGUGGCUGCACCAGUUUGCAUUCCUACCCACAGUGCAAGAGGGUUAUUCUUUCCCCACAUCCAUGGCAACACCUGCUGUGUCAUCCUUCAUUGAUUUUAGCCAUUGUGACAGAUGUGAUGUGUUCUCUCAUUGUACUUUCGAAUUGUAUGUCCCUGAAGAUCAGUAUUGUUGAGCAUUUUUUCAUGUGUCUCUUGGCCAUGUAUAUGUCUUCCUUCGGGAAAUGUC